rnacentral:rRNA from 1 species
UAUUGCACAAUGGGGGAAACCCUGAUGCAGCGACGCCGCGUGAGCGAAGAAGUAUUUCGGUAUGUAAAGCUCUAUCAGCAGGGAAGAAAAUGACGGUACCUGACUAAGAAGCUCCGGCUAAAUACGUGCCAGCAGCCGCGGUAAUACGUAUGGAGCAAGCGUUAUCCGGAUUUACUGGGUGUAAAGGGAGCGUAGGCGGUAAGGCAAGUCUGAUGUGAAAGGCCAGGGCUCAACCCUGGGACUGCAUUGGAAGCUGUUUAACUGGAGUGUCGGAGAGGCAAGUGGAAUUCCUAGUGUAGCGGAGAAAUGCGUAGAUAUUAGGAGGAACACCAGUGGCGAAGGCGGCUUACUGGACAGUAACUGACGUUGAGGCUCGAAAGCGUGGGGAGCAAACAGG